ensembl:lncRNA
CCCUAACUCCUCGACUGUACAGGCUCGUCGUUCGGCUUUAUGGUCCCUCCGCAAAGCCCCAAAGAACAAAGAAACCAAAGAGGGCCAUAAAACGCUGCGUAGUAUAGUAGUUUGACGUAGAGACUUACAUACUGGGAUGUAAAAGCCCACUAGUUUAUAGGCCUGUGGCAGACAAACAGAAAUGUCAAUUAGUCAGCCUAUCAGGUGCUUAAUACAUUUUAGCAGGGGGUCAUCUUGUUUUUGAAUGCAAAUUGAAAAAGUAUUAUCGAGAAAAAACAGGUUCCUUCCCGCCUUCCCCGCGGUUCCUUCUCUAGUUUGCUUCUCCCGUACCCUAGGUUCCUGCUCUCCUUUCCCCCCAUGGUUUACGGUCCUGGCUCCCCAUUGGUGGGAUGAGCUGACCCCUCGCCGACCCCUCGCCGACCCCUCGCUGACCCCUCGCUGACCUCAGGGCGGCAGACGCCCUUUCUGGUCUUGGCCCAUGAACGAGUUGAACAGAGGACUGAGGAUGGGUGAUGGUGGCAGUGGAGGAACCCUCUGGCUGCCGCUGCGGUCUAGCAGCAGCGAUGGAAUCCCUGAGUAGAGCUUCCACCGCGUCAGCAUCAUGCAAAUGUAUCAGCUAUAUAUGCCUGCCGGCACUGUUCACCAAUACCCAAUACCUCCUCAGCAUACCAGAACAGCCCUUAGCAAGCUAUGCUCCGCACAGAGUCCCAGAUGAAGUGCAUGGUUUGGCUGUGGCUCCUGAUGCCGGUCGCCCUGGCCUUUCUGUGCUCUCAACCAGCCUCUCGGUGCUCGCCAACAGAGUGUGAGUGGGUGACCACCGACCAGGUGGUCACAACGUUCAGUCACAUCGAAGAUGACCUCCUGCACAGCAACCCUGUGGCACCCUGGAAAUUAAAGGUGAUCAGAGACCACACCCGGGAGCCCAGGUCGCUGCCUGAGGCUCAUUGCCUGGACUGCCCCACGGACCCCUUGAAACUGACACCCCAGCCCGUCUGUAUCGAGGUGAACGUCUUCUACCGGAACGACACCGUGGCCGACUCCUGGUGCAAGUGUCCCUGCAGCAUCGCCGUGGCCUGCACCUGCGUCCCACACAAACAAAAGCUACCGCCGUGCACGCCGAGGCCUAAACGAGGCUAGUGAGCCCCCCGUACGGCUGCUCCUACGGCCUCCAUCGUUGCUCCAGUUUAGCAUUAGAAAAGUUAGCCCUGCUACAUCGUUUGACAUCACUGCGUGAUACACUGUGUUUUUUAUACAUAGGUUAUGUACUAUAUAUACUGUGUAUAUAUUAUACAUAGUUAUACAUUAUAU